GACGAACGCUGGCGGCGCGCUUAAUACAUGCAAGUCGAGCGAGAACCAGGGCUUCGGCUCUGGGGACAGCGGCGAACGGGUGAGUAACACGUGGGUAAUCAACCCCCGACACCGGGAUAGCCCAGGGAAACUUGGACUAAUACCGGAUGCCCCGUCUGGCCUUCGGGCCGGCCGGAAAAGGGUAGCUUCGGCCUCUGGUCGGGGACGAGCCCGCGGCGGAUUAGCUUGUUGGUGAGGUAAAGGCUCACCAAGGCGACGAUCCGUAGCUGGUCUGAGAGGACGAUCAGCCACACGGGGACUGAGACACGGCCCAGACUCCUACGGGGGGCAGCAGUAGGGAAUCUUGCGCAAUGGGCGAAAGCCUGACGCAGCGACGCCGCGUGAGGGAAGAAGGCCUUCGGGUUGUAAACCUCUUUCAGGAGGGACGAAGCCACUCGGGUUAAUAGCCUAGAGGGUGACGGUACCUCCAGAAGAAGCCCCGGCUAACUACGUGCCAGCAGCCGCCGUAA
rnacentral:rRNA from 1 species